rnacentral:lncRNA from 1 species
ACAAAAGCUUUGUCUUGGAUGAAACAUGAGAAAUUCUCAGUUAACAAUAUGCAAGCAUAACUCGAUAUUGACCCACAACAUGAGGAACUAAGCAUAACCCAAUAUUCAUCCACACCAUGAGAAACUCACGCCUCACUAAUGAUAUGCAGUAUAACUAAAAUCUAUUUCAUAAAAGGAGAAACUAAUGCACAUGAGAUUCAUUUAUUAACAGUUGAAAUCCAUUGACUCUUCCGAAAUCCACCGGGCAUCCGAACUUAAUCGGGCAACGUCCCCUAAUCGAAGGGUGACGGCUAGAA